rnacentral:rRNA from 1 species
GAUGACCGCUGGCGGCGUGCCUAAUACAUGCAAGUCGAGCGAACAGAUAAGGAGCUUGCUCCUUUGACGUUAGCGGCGGACGUGUGAGUAACACGUGGGUAACCUACCUAUAAGACUGGGAUAACUUCGGGACACCGGAGCUCAUACCGGAUAAUAUUUCGAACCGCAUGGUUCGAUAGUGAAAGAUGGUUUUGCUAUCACUUAUAGAUGGACCCGCGCCGUAUUAGCUAGUUGGUAAGGUAACGGCUUACCAAGGCGACGAUACCUAGCCGACCUGAGAGGGUGACCGGCCACACUGGACCUGAGCCACGUCCCAGACUCCUACGGGAGGCAGCCGUCGGGAAUCUGCCGCCAUGGGCGAAAGCCUGACGUAGCAACGCCGCUUGUGUAAUGAAGGUCUACGGAUCGUAAAACUCUGUUAUUUGGGAAGAGCAGACGUGUAAGUUACUGUGCACGUCUUGACGUUCCCUAAUCAGUAAGCCACGGCUAGCUACGUG